UUAAUAGCAGAGCAGUCCCUGGAGCUUCUUCAUUAGUCUCUAUAUUAUUAUAAUUCAUGUUUAUAUCUGGUAUCCCCAUUACUGAUUUCUUUCUCGGUCUCCCUCUCUUAUUCUCAGAUUUGGCCAGCAUGCUGGAAUCAGCAGGAGUCCCAUCUAAACCAGCAACGCUGGCAACAACCGUAGUCUGCCCAGAAGUUGAUUUAUUCUUUCUCUUUCUUUUUUUUGGGCCAGGCUUACCUUCGGCAGCGAGGGGGCCACUAAAUGAAGCUCCAUUGGCCAAAAGGCCCAGAAUUGCACACUUUCCAUUUGAAGUUGGUCCACUAGCAGUAAACCCCUUCCUCCUACUUUGCUCAGGAACAGUAUUUAUCGAAAAUGGACCUGUCACCUGCAAAUCUACUAACAGGGUGCUGUGUUCUGCAUUACUUGAAUUUACAUCCACUGACUUCUCCCUCUCAUUUGGCCAAGGUUCAACAUGGCUCAUCAUCUCAGCAUUUUCUACCAACAAAUUGGUCAUAGGACCAUUGCCAUUCAAGUCUGGUAUGCUUGUUGUUUGGUUGGUGCGUAGAUCUGUAGGAUUUCCUCCUUGCUUCUUUUUUUUCUUCUUUGACCUAGGUUUUCCAUUCAGCGUGGAAGGGCCCAUCUCAGAUAAGCCAUCAGCAGCAAUAUUUGCAUUCACAUCUGAUAAUCCAUCAAGAGAUUUAAUUUUCGAUCUACCUGA
rnacentral:misc_RNA from 1 species